UGGGGAAUAUUGGGCAAUGGGGCGAAAGCCUGACCCAGCAACGCCGCGUGAAGGAAGAAGGUCUUCGGAUUGUAAACUUCUUUUAUGAGGGACGAAGGACGUGACGGUACCUCAUGAAUAAGCCACGGCUAACUACGUGCCAGCAGCCGCGGUAAUACGUAGGUGGCAAGCGUUGUCCGGAUUUACUGGGUGUAAAGGGCGAGUAGGCGGGCUGGUAAGUUGGAAGUGAAAUGUCGGGGCUUAACCCCGGAACUGCUUUCAAAACUGCUGGUCUUGAGUGAUGGAGAGGCAGGCGGAAUUCCUAGUGUAGCGGUGAAAUGCGUAGAUAUUAGGAGGAACACCAGUGGCGAAGGCGGCCUGCUGGACAUUAACUGACGCUGAGGAGCGAAAGCGU
rnacentral:rRNA from 1 species